UACAGAGGGGGCAAGCGUUGUUCGGAAUUACUGGGCGUAAAGGGCGCGUAGGCGGCCCGCUAAGUCGAACGUGAAAUCCCCGAGCUCAACUCGGGAACUGCGUCCGAUACUGGCGGGCUUGAAUCCGGGAGAGGGAUGCGGAAUUCCAGGUGUAGCGGUGAAAUGCGUAGAUAUCUGGAGGAACACCGAUGGCGAAGGCAGGUCUCUGGGCCACUACUGACGCUGAGAAGCGAAAGCGUGGGGAGCGAACAGG
rnacentral:rRNA from 1 species